GGGGUACAGAACGGUGUCCCCAUAGGGUAUGGGAUGUGGGGACACAUAGAAUGGUGUCCCUAUGGGGAAUGGGGUCAUGGGGUACACCUCAGUGUCCCCAUAGGUUGUGGGAUAUGGGGACAGACAGCCUGGUGACCCUAUGGGAACGGAGCAUGGGGUACAGAACGGUGUCCCCAUAGGUUAUAGGAUAUGGGGACAGACAGAACAGUGCCCCUAUGGGGAAUGGGGUGUGGGGUACAGCCUAAUGACCCCAUAGGUUAUGGGAUAUGGGGACAGACAGAACGGUGUCCCUAUAAGGAAUGGGAGGGGGGGAGCAUUGCUGUGUCCCUAUAGGGAAUGGGGUGUGGGGACGUGAAGCACAGAGUCCCUAUGGGGAAUGGGGUGUGGGGUACAGAACAGUGUCCCCAUAGGUUAUGGGAUAUGGGGACAUAUAGAAUGGUGACCCUAUGGGAAUGGGGUGUGGGGUACACCUCAAUGUCCCCAUAGGUUAUGGGAUGUGGGGACAGACAGCCUGGUGACCCUAUGGGAACGGAGCAUGGGGUACAGCCCGGUGUCCCCAUAGGUUAUAGGAUAUGGGGACAGACAGAACAGUGCCCCUAUAGGGAAUGGGGUGUGGGGUACAGCCUAAUGACCCCAUAGGUUAUGGGAUAUGGGGACAG
ensembl:lncRNA